UACCAGCACCCCGAGUGGUCGGGACGUUUAUUGGGCCUAAAGCAUCCGUAGCCGGUUCUACAAGUCUUCCGUUAAAUCCAACUGCUUAACAGGUGGGCUGCGGAAGAUACUAUAGAGCUAGGAGGCGGGAGAGGCAAGCGGUACUCGAUGGGUAGGGGUAAAAUCCGUUGAUCCAUUGAAGACCACCAGUGGCGAAGGCGGCUUGCCAGAACGCGCUCGACGGUGAGGGAUGAAAGCUGCGGGAGCAAACCGG
rnacentral:rRNA from 1 species